UUGUAACCCUGGAGAAUCCUGAGAACACCUUCAAGUAGUCAGUGGGACCCUGAGGACAGCCCCCCCCCCCCAGAUCUGGGUGUAGUUUUCGAGGCUGGGCCUCGCUGGGCUCCCGGGGCCUUCUGGGAAGUUCGGGUAGUAGCUCCGCCGCACCUGAGAGUCAGCAGAAGGCCCGGAAGCUUCUGGAAAUAGUGGAUCAGGUGCAAAGGUAAAACCCAGACCAGAGAGGGCCGGAGGGAGGUAGCAGAGAGCAAAGCUCUCGGGAUCCAUCACUGCCACUGUCGCCUGCCUUGGAGACAGACGAACUCCGGAAAGGGAUCGAACUCAGGUCCUUGCGCUUGUGCAGCAGGCGGCGAAACCACUGAGCUAAAUCCCCAGCCCUUAAAGAUUUUCAGUUUAAUUUUAUAGGCUGUGAUAAUGGAAUUGUGGUUCUGUUAAAAGAAGGAAAGCUUCCUUAUCUUUCAGAAAUAUAAUCUUGUGCUACAUUCCUGCAGUAAUGGCCUCUGUGGAUUAAUUACUCCCCAUUUCUAUGUUAUUUGCAUAUCCCCUCCUACAUUAAUUCUGGGUUUGGGUGCGUGACUUAUUUUGUCUAAUGAGACAUUAGCAAACAUGCUGCAAGCAGAGGCUUGAAAAGCAUUUGUACAUUGGGGCUUGCCUUCUCUUGCCUCUGGGAACUCUUGGAAUGCAGCCACCAUGGGAACAAGCCCGAGCUAGCCUGUUGUAAGGCUGUGUGGAGAACUGAGGCACCUCUCCCAAUUGCCAGACAUGUGGGUGAGACCAUCAAAGACAGCUCAACCUGGUCAAGUCACCAGCUAACUGCAUCCUCCUGAGAGCCCAGACAAAAUCAACAGAAGAGCCAUCCAGCUGAUCCCAGCCCAACUGCCAACCCACAGAAUCAUGACCUAAUAAUGAUCACUAUUUCAAGACACUUGCAAUAGAUAAAUAAUAUAAUUCUGAAUGUGUACAAAUAAAAUUUCAGAUGUCUGGGCAUUUGCUUCUGCGGGGUAGGGUGAAUGAAGGUAUAGAUGAAAAAAGAUGUUGGAUAAAAGCUGAUAAUUAUUAGAGUUGGUGAGGGCUUCAUUUCUCUAUUCUCUUUACAUUUGGUUAUGUUUGACAUGGAAAUUUCCAUAGUGAAAAAAUAAAAGAAAGAAGGAUGAAAAGAGGAGUAGAGGAGAAAGAAAAGAGAAUAGCUCUUCUAUUAGUAGAUAAAGCAGUGGAGACACAAAGAUGGAAAGUGAGUUCUGCUAUGCAGCACAGCCAAAUCUUAGCAGAGUUCAUUGCUGAACACAGCUUCUCCAACUCCUGGGCCCAAUGCUUUCCAUUGUCUGACAUGCUCAGAGCCUGGAAAGUUGGUAGGAGAAACAAUACGGGGAAGAAUCACCUCAUCUCUUACUUGAGAAAAGCCCAGUGGCAAGUCUAAGAUGUUAGAAGGUGGUGAGACCUUUGGUGACAGAUGAUUUUAUUUGUGUGCUGUAUUGUUUAGCAGUUGAGGAACAAAUAUCUGUUUUGCCAGGUACACGUACUAUAUCACAUAAGAGAGAAGGAAGACCUCCUUUCUAUACUCUGCCCCACGGCGUUGCCACCAAAAGCUUCCUCUGUUUUCAAAAGUGUGUAGUAACUGUGAAAGAAAUAACAGGGGCUGUGUUACAGUGUGCCCGGACAUCAACACUAAAAAUUCAUCUUCAAGUCCAAAUAUAUUAAGGUUGUCUCUUUCCCACAUGUAUGAAAUGAGCAAAGCUUUCAUUAUUCAUCAAAUGAGAAAAUUAAGCACUGUAAUUAUCUGUCUCUUGCCCCAGGGUAGAUUGGGCAUCGUUUAAUCAGACAUUGCUACAGACUGCGCCUGACCAUAAACAGACAUUAAAGAGGUUACUUAAUGAAAAAGAAAAGAGAAAAAAUAACCCAAAACUUCGGCGUCUUCAUAGCCAGUGUUGGUUUCCCUGAGAGCUUAUGGACCUUAGAACUCAGCUGGAGUUUCAGGGGAGGAAGGAAGAUUCUAGAAGAUGAUAACUGGGCCUGUGACCAAAAAGCCAAAUACAACAAAGCCAAACUAAACUGCAAUCUUUCAUGUAACCCAUUGGCAGGGCCCCUGCCUUGCAUUUCUUGGGAGCAGGGCUCACUGAGAGGACGCACAGGGCUCUGUAUUUAUGUUUGAUGGUUGGUCUGAAACCCUAGAGCCCCAGAGCCAGCUGGCCGAGUGCGGUGAGGCCGACGUAUCGCCGAGGGCAGGCAUCAGCAGCACUGGCUGCAGCGCACACACAGUCCUGCAGGUCACUGUUGUAUGUGGAAUCCUGGACAAGUGGGGAAGGGACUCCAGUUCUCCUUGAGUUUCUUCGAGUUACACUUAGCAGUCACAUAGAUGUUUCCUGUUUCACACCAUUUAUUGCAUGAGUAGAAGUUCUCAAGUCAGGGGGUCCCUGCUUGGAGGUGGUGAGGAGGUUGCUGGCUCUUGGCCCAGUGAGGUUAAGGUCCCUGUCACCCCGGAGCCCUGGGCUUCUGGGCCUGAGGGCCACACACAGGCCGGCCUGGAGUGCCAGACACGGCGUCCUGUUCAUCUGGAGCUGUGGUAACCUGCACCCUGGGCGCCCAGAAGAGCAGCUCCUCCGGAGGGACUUUGCCAGAG
ensembl:lncRNA